UGGAAAGAACAGACUUUCUUACAUAAUUGCCAGUUAAUUGUUGCAGCUGUUUGUUCGAGGAAAAUCCACUUGUUGAAGAAAUUUUAGAAACGCACAAUAGGAUAUCGGACGUCAAGUGCAAGUAACCAGCCAUUGCAUCACCCAAGACGUAUACUGAUUUAACCCCGGCGACUGCAUCACCGAUUUAUGGCACAACCUGAAAGUGCUGGUGUGUGCCUGAACUGAAGUUAAAGGCAGGAACUGAAGUAGAAGAAGGGCCACCCAUUUGAAUCUGCCCGUCGACGAUAUCGAUGAUCCUCAGGCCACAACAGUCCAUAAUUUUCACGAUCUUGAGAGUUUCCAAAAAGCUCAGCUGCUCAAUAAGUCCCGUUUUUGGAACGAACACAGUCAAAUUUAUCAGUUGGACUUCGGAGGGUGAGUGACCCAAGAAUCUGCGAAAAAUUUUCAGAUUGAAUUCUAAGGAAAACAGGUUAUGCAGUUUAGCAGAAUCGAUGGGAAUGCCUACACGUUAGAUUUUCAGUAUCCUUUCUCAGCUGUCCAGGCUUUUGCUGUGGCAUUGGUGACUCAACGAUUGAAAUAAAAAUGGUAUUUGGAUAAAUCUGUCCAGAGAUGGUCAAUGUGACAUUAAGCAUUCGUAACUGUGAGAAUUUAUUCCACGUGUCAUUCCUUUGUUAAAUAUGAAA